rnacentral:rRNA from 1 species
GAAACGGGGGAGUGCCUUCGGGAGCGCAGAGACAGUUGGUGCAUGCCUGUCGUCAGCUCGUGUCGUGAGAUGUUGGGUUAAGUCCCGCAACGAGCGCAACCCACGUCUUUAGUUGCCAGCAUUCAGUUGGGCACUCUAGAGAGACCGCCGGUGAUAAACCGGAGGAAGGUGUGGAUGACGUCAAGUCAUCAUGCCCCUUACAUCCUGGGCUACACACGUACUACAAUGCUACGGACAAAGGGCAGCAAACUCGCGAGAGCUAGCAAAUCCCAUAAACCGUGGCUCAGUUCAGAUCGUAGGCUGCAACUCGCCUACGUGAAGGAGGAAUCGCUAGUAAUCGCAGGUCAGCAUACUGCGGUGAAUACGUUCCCGGGCAUUGUACACACCGCCCGUCACACCAUGGAAGUUGGCCACGCCCGAAGCCGUUACUCCAACCUUGUGGAGGA